rnacentral:lncRNA from 1 species
GCCGGGGCGGGCGGGGCUGGUGGCUCCCCCGAGCGGGGGCUCCCGCCGGGAUCCGUCUGCGCCGGGCCCGCGGGAUGGAGGCGCGAAGAGGGGCAGAAUUCCCAUUUUCUUCACGAAGCAGCAAAGAUGGCUCAGCAACAACUGCCUGAUAUCUGUAUCAUUACAAAAAAAUCUUGUUUUCAACUCUUCCAGAACUCUUGUCUCAGGACUGGAAGUUUUUUUACUCAUGCUUGGAGAUCUGCUGCUAUUUGUUAAUUGACCAGCGCUGGAGACAGGAUGUGGUGCUACAGAGACUUUCUGAUCUAGCAUAGAUGUUCUCAGACUCAAGAAUAGCUGUCUAACUUGGGAUACUACCUUUUCAGUCACCUUUUUUAUCAAGACCAUUCAGGGACAUCUUCUAGUAUAUCUUUUUCAAACAUCAGUUUAUCUCUGAAAUUGGUAAUUUCAGAAAAAGGACUGUGACUGUGGCUUGGUUCCAAAGCUGCAGAGCUCUGAAAUCCCUCCUCUAUCCACAGUCUCACAGAAUAGAAGACCAUUACGAAUUGUCUCAAAAUUGUUAAGAACAGUUGUUUAUAUGAACUACCCUUUUAUCUUCAAACGAUGCCUUCUGGUACAAAUCCUGUACCUAAGAUGUACAAAUGUCCGCUUAUUAUGUGACUUAAAAUAAACAAAGGACA